rnacentral:rRNA from 1 species
CAUGUGACCUCAACUUAGGCGGGACUACCCACUG